GAUGAACGCUGGCGGCGUGCCUAAUACAUGCAAGUCGAACGAAACUUCUUUAUCACCGAGUGCUUGCACUCACCGAUAAAGAGUUGAGUGGCGAACGGGUGAGUAACACGUGGGCAACCUGCCCAAAAGAGGGGGAUAACACUUGGAAACAGGUGCUAAUACCGCAUAACCAUAGUUACCGCAUGGUAACUAUGUAAAAGGUGGCUAUACUACCGCUUUUGGAUGGGCCCGCGGCGCCUUAGCUAGUUGGUAGGGUAAAGGCUUACCAAGGCAAUGAUGCGUAGCCGAAUUGAGAGGUUGAUCGGCCACAUUGGGACUGAGACACGGCCCAAACUCCUACGGGAGGCAGCAGUAGGGAAUCUUCCACAAUGGGCGAAAGCCUGAUGGAGCAACGCCGCGUGGGUGAAGAAGGUCUUCGGAUCGUAAAACCCUGUUGUUAGAGAAGAAAGUGCGUGAGAGUAACUGUUCACGUUUCGACGGUAUCUAACCAGAAAGCCACGGCUAACUACGUG
rnacentral:rRNA from 1 species